rnacentral:rRNA from 1 species
UACGGGGGGGGGCAAGCGUUGUUCGGAAUUACUGGGCGUAAAGGGCGCGUAGGCGGCCUUCUAAGUCGGACGUGAAAUCCCUCGGCUUAACCGAGGAACUGCGUCCGAUACUGAAAGGCUUGAAUCCGGGAGAGGGAUGUGGAAUUCCAGGUGUAGCGGUGAAAUGCGUAGAUAUCUGGAGGAACACCGGUGGCGAAGGCGGCGAUCCUGGACCAAUUCUGACACUGAGGAGCGAAGCCAGGGGA